CGAACCUCGACGUGGCUCUGUAUUCACUGCGUCUUCAGAUAUCAUCGAUUAAAAUGCCUCGAUUGCCAAUCAUGAGAGAAGGAUAAGUGGAUUAUUGGAACGAGGUCUUCAAUUUUAUGACUCACGGUUGGUUACGUCUGGCUCCUUGCUCCUUCCUCGUUUCUCUCUCUCUCUCUCUCGCUCUUUUUCUAUCUCGCGAAUGAGGAGCUGUAUAUACCGUUGAAAUCAAUACGGAAUACGCGAGGCGCAAGUUCAACGCACCGAGGGCGACCGCGGCAGGAGACGAGAGAUACGGACUCCGGGGAUGGAAAAAAUAAAGAGAUACCGAGAGAAGUACUCGGGAGCUUCGUCCGGGAAGACUCAGACUCUCAGGAGAUCCAUCCCACAGGACGUGUACGUAUGUUUGUGACUGUGGGAGAGCACGAAGAAGAAGAAGAAGAGGAAGAACGCAGCGAAAUGUUUAAAUGUUCACGUGAUUUACUGUAAAUUCGAGGGUUAUUAUCUAGCGUGAAUAUGCCCGGUUUAUAAUAAUUGAUUCUUUACUAAAACGUGAGAAACUAGAAUAAAUAAGUGAAAUAGAGUUCGAUGGAUAGUUUGUUUCGUUGCUCAAUUUUUAUCGAUCAAAAAAUCAGUCGAGUGAGCUCACUUGUAAUUUUCGAAAUCGAAAGUCUUUGAGAUUAAAAAAAAGACCGAUUAAAAAAGGCUCAGCCCACGUAGGACGAUGGCAAAAAUCGAAUGACAGCGCUUUUUUGUUUUUUUAGAUUUUUAGAAUUUUGAUUUAGAAUUUUGCAGCUGGAAAUUUUGAAAGUUACAUUUUUCCACACCCCGAUCGAAAUAAUAUAAAUAUCAGCCCACUUUUUCCAUCGCCCUGCAUGGGCUAACGAGCCUUUUUUUAAUCGGUUGAUCUGUGUCAAAGAAUUUCGAUUUCGAAAAAACACUCACAAAAUUCUAGGUGGAGUUCGUACGUCGAUUUUGUGAGACCUUGUCGGAUGUAUAAUUCUCAUGUUUACUCGCUGUCACGAAUCUACAAUUUAUUCGAAAUAAACAACUAUUUAUUGUGA